CCACAAAAAAAAACUACUAGAAGUUUUAAGUUGACAACUCACAUUGUAUCAUCUAAACAAGUAUGAAUGACAAAACAAGAAAACGAUCCUCUUUCUCAAUAUGCAACUUCAAAGCUCGAACUCCUCGUCCCUUAGAGCCAUCUCAGCCGCCUCUUCAUCCUCAUCAUCAAGAACAAAGUACUCAUUUUUCUCAACCGGCCUGAACAUGUAAAACAUCACCAAAUAAAACACAAGACUCGCAAUCUCCUCCGCUGCACUAGACACCCACUGGUACUUAUACGCUGCAAUAGUCUUCAACGCAAAAACAACAAUCCUCGUAAAAUACAAGUACCCAAUAACCACUAUAUAAAACUGCCUAAACAAAGUCAACUUCGCCAAAUUCCUCGCAGCCUUCCCGUCAGUCUUCGACGUCUCCCUCAACGACCUAAUCGACCACACAAUCGGGAAAAUAAUCGCGCAACAACAAAUAAUAUCCACCAACAAAAACACCUGAUUCCAAGUCACCCAAUCUCUAAUAAAAGGACCAGUCUCCCCUAUCACUAUCGAAGCCACAUUCGCCAACACCUGAAGCGGAAUCACAAUCAUCAAAACCUUCUUCUCCUUCUCUUGCAAAAACGGCUUCAAAAACGACCAUCCGGUCCCAAUCAACACAAUCACAGUGAACAAAAGCACAACCCUAAUAAACUGAAAUAUGUAAAACAACACAUCCCAUCCAUGAGGAGUACCAGUAACCUUCACAUAAUGUUUAUCCUCUGCAGCACAGAUCAAAUUAAGCGCUUUCAUAAUAAGCAAUCCGCCCAUUAACAAAUGGAUCCGGUGAACAGAUCGCUUGUUUUUCAAACACAACGAGAUCCAAAACCCUAGAAAACACAAAUACACAAUAGAGAAGAUAAAAUACAGUGACGGAAGCUGCGUGAGACCGGCAGAUAGAUAAUCCUUAGCUCCGUUAUCCGUAUUAUACAGUUCUGUACGUACAUCCAUCGUUACGAGCGAUUCAGGGUUACAAUUAGCGAAAAACAGUGAGUAUUCGUUCGGAUACGUUACUGGAUACGAUUUGUUGAACGAUGAGUGCGGCGGAGGUGAUAGAUCUCGGAAAGUGAAGAGUAACGAGAUGAAUUUUGAAUCCACAACGCAGAAAUUAGGGUUUUGUUGAAGUUCUAGAAGAACUUGAAUCAGAGAUUCUUCUGACAAGAGGAAGAACCCUAGGCGAGCCGGAUCCGGUUGCGAUAAGGAGGAGAAAAAGCGGUGACGAUUUUGGUGGAAAUCGUCAUUUUUGGGGUUUCCGGCGGUGGUUCACGGCGGAGGAGUGGUGUAGAAUGGCGGAGGAGGAAAUUAAAAGGGUGAGAAUUUGCUAAAAUACAGAUGUGAAUGAGAUUGGAAAAGGGAUGAUGUGAGCCGUUUAUUGUAAUUUACUCAAUCUGAUGGUUGAUCUGAGCCGUUGGAUUGAUUGGGUUGACAGCGUGGAAUAUCGUAAUCAUCUACUGGAUCUAUGGUUCUAUACCGAAAUGGAAAUUGUAAGCUAA
rnacentral:lncRNA from 1 species